CCUUUCUGAGUUUCUUCCUAGCGAGGCCGAGAGGGUCUUUGAGGAAAAUCCCGCAUCCGGACACGCCUUGAGGGAUGGCGUCAAACCCAGAGGCUUGGAAAAGUGGAGACGGAGUUUCACCAUGUUGGCAAGGCUAGUCUCAAACUCCUGACUUCAAGUGAUUCGCCCACCUCGGCCUCUCAAAGUGCUGGGAUUACAGGCAUGAGCCACCGUGUCCGGCCCCACUACAUUCUUAAAGAAGCAAUAAAUUGACCUUGUUUAAAUACACAAUCUGAAUUACUGGGGUCUUUUGAAACUAAACCUUUGUUCAUUACUAAGAUUUCUAUUUUCCUUCCUCUUUUUCAGCACUUAUUUCUAUAGCAGUCUCCCAGCUGAUGCCACUUAACUUCAUUGAACAAAAAAUGAGGUUUAGAAAAUCACAAUAAUCAUUGUGAAAGUAU
ensembl:lncRNA novel transcript